rnacentral:lncRNA from 1 species
CCCACAGGCAGCCCCACAGGGACCCCAUAGAGCCCUAUAGACCCCCAUAGAGACCCCAGGCAGCCGCAUAGGGCCCCCCCAGGGACCCCACAGAGCCCUAUAGGGCCCCAAGGAGCCACUGCAGCGUCCCCUGGCAGCCCCACAGAGGCCCCAGGGGCCUUAUAGGGCCCUAUAGGCCCCACAGAGCCCCCGGAGAGUCCCCCAGGGUUCGCUAUAGAGGCCUACGGGUCCCCACGGAGACCCAAGAAGACCCUAUAGAGCCCUGUACGCCCUCCCAGAGCUCCCAGGAGCCCCACAGAGCCCCCCAGGGACCCCAUAGAGUCCCCAGGCAGCCCCACAGGGUCCUUAUAGCACCCCAUAGGGCCCCAAUAUCGCCCCGCAGAGCACUAAUAGAGCCCUAUGGGGCCCCAGCAUCACCCCUUAGGGCCCUUAUAGUGCCCCAUAGGGCCCCAAUAGAGCCCCAUAGGGACCUAACGGAGCCCCAGAGAGCACUAACAGAGCCCUAUAGGGCCCCAAUAAAGCCCCAUAAGGACCUUGUAGUGCCCCAGAGGGCCCUUAUAGCACCCCCUAGGGCCCCAAUAUCACCCCCUAGGGCCCUUACAGUGCCCCAUAGGGCCCCAAUGUCACCCAUAGAGCCCCAAUAG